rnacentral:rRNA from 1 species
AGAAUCAACGCUGGCGGCGUGCCUAAUACAUGCAAGUCGAACGCGAAAGUCCCGCAAGGGAUUAGUAGAGUGGCAAACGGGUGAGUAACGCGUGGGCGACCUACCUUCGAGUGGGGGAUAACCUUCCGAAAGGAGGGCUAAUACCGCAUGACAUCCCGUGUUUGGAUACACGGACAUCAAAGUCGGGGAUCGCAAGACCUGACGCUUGGAGAGGGGCCCGCGUCCGAUUAGCUAGUUGGUGGGGUAACGGCUCACCAAGGCUUCGAUCGGUAUCCGGCCUGAGAGGGCGGACGGGACACGACUGGGACUGAGACACGGCCCAGACUCCUACGGGAGGCAGCAGUAGGGAAUUUUGCGCAAUGGACGAAAGUCUGACGCAGCAACGCCGCGUGAGGGAUGAAGGCCUUCGGGUUGUAAACCUCUUUAUCAGGGAAGAUAAUGACGGUACCUGAUGAAUAAGUCACGGCUAACUACGUGCCAGCAGUCGCGGU